AUACUUACCUGGCAAGGGAGACACCGUGAUCACGAAGGCGGUUCACCCAGGGCGAGGCUCAGCCAUUGCACUCCGGCUGUGCUGACCCCUGCAAAUUUCUCAAAUGUGGAAAUCUCGACUGCGUUC
rnacentral:snRNA from 1 species